CCCCAUAAAAAAAUAAAAAAGGGUAUGGCUGUUCGCAGCUUAAUGAGUACGCGAGUGGGUAGAACGGCGUGGGAACAGUGGCGUCCCUAUCCUUCGCCGCGCUUCCAAUUUGAUGGAAGCUGUCCCUAGUACGAGAGGACCGGGAUGGACAAACCUCUAGUGUACCAGUUGUUCCGCCAGGAGCACUGCUGGGUAGCUACGUUUGGAAGGGAUAACCGCUGAAAGCAUCUAAGUGGGAAGCCCACCUCAAGAUUAGAUCCCUCAUCCGUAAUGGAGUAAGACCGCUAGAAGACGACUAGCUUGAUAGGCGGCAAGUGUAAGCAUGGUGACAUGUUCAGCUAAGCCGUACUAAUGGUCGAGGGCUUACGUUU
rnacentral:rRNA from 1 species